rfam:Felis catus isolate Cinnamon breed Abyssinian chromosome B4, whole genome shotgun sequence.
UAGGGGAGUCGGGGUUUGGUACCCCUCCCCGAGCCCAGGGUAACUCUCAGAGUGGAGGGGCA